UACGAAGGGUGCAAGCGUUACUCGGAAUUACUGGGCGUAAAGAGUGUGUAGGCGGUGUUCUAAGUCUGUUGUGAAAUCUCCCGGCUUAACUGGGAGGGUGCGGCGGAAACUGGAAUGCUAGAGGAUGGGAGAGGUAAGCGGAAUUCCUGGUGUAGCGGUGAAAUGCGUAGAUAUCAGGAGGAACACCUGUGGUGUAGACAGCUUACUGGACCAUUUCUGACGCUGAGACACGAAAGCGUGGGUAGCAAACAGG
rnacentral:rRNA from 1 species